rnacentral:rRNA from 1 species
UGAGGAAUAUUGGGUCAAUGGGCGCAGGCCUGAACCAGCCAAGUCGCGUGAGGGAGGACGGUCCUACGGAUUGUAAACCUCUUUUGUCGGGGAGUAACGUGCGGGACGCGUCCCGUAUUGAGAGUACCCGAAGAAAAAGCAUCGGCUAACUCCGUGCCAGCAGCCGCGGUAAUACGGAGGAUGCGAGCGUUAUCCGGAUUUAUUGGGUUUAAAGGGUGCGCAGGCGGCGCGCCAAGUCAGCGGUCAAAGUUCCGGGCUCAACCCGGUGUCGCCGUUGAAACUGGCGUGCUCGAGUGCGUGCGAGGAAGGCGGAAUGCGUUGUGUAGCGGUGAAAUGCAUAGAUAUGACACAGAACACCGAUUGCGAAGGCAGCAUACUGGACUGUAACUGACGCUGAAGCACGAAAGC